UACGUAGGGUGCGAGCGUUGUCCGGAAUUACUGGGCGUAAAGAGCUCGUAGGUGGUUUGUCGCGUUGUCCGUGAAAACUCACAGCUCAACUGUGGGCGUGCGGGCGAUACGGGCAGACUGGAGUACUGCAGGGGAGACUGGAAUUCCUGGUGUAGCGGUGGAAUGCGCAGAUAUCAGGAGGAACACCGAUGGCGAAGGCAGGUCUCUGGGCAUUAACUGACGCUGAGGAGCGAAAGCAUGGGGAGCGAACAGG
rnacentral:rRNA from 1 species